AGCCGGUCUAACGGCCGGGUAAUACCGCGUAAGACGUUGAGAUCGCAUGAUUUCGAGGUGAAAGCGGCCGAAGUCCGCCAGAGGAGGGGCUCGCGGCCUAUCAGCUUGUUGGUGGGGUAACGGCCUACCAAGGCUACGACGGGUAGCUGGUCUGAGAGGAUGAUCAGCCACAUUGGGACUGAGAUACGGCCAGACUCCUACGGGAGGCAGCAGUGGGGAAUAUUGCGCAAUGGCCGAAAGUGACGCAGCGACGCCGUGUGUGGGAUGAAGGCCCUCGGGUUGUAAACCACUGUCAGGGGGGACGAAUACUCGGCCUCGAAUAAAGGACCGAGGGUGACGGUACCCCCAGAGGAAGCACCGGCUAACUCCGUGCCAGCAGCCGCGGUAAGACGGAGGGUGCAAGCGUUGUCCGGAUUUACUGGGCGUAAAGCGCGCGUAGGUGGCCGUUUAAGUCACUUGUGAAAGCCCGGGGCUCAACCCCGGACUGCAGGCGAAACUGGACGGCUAGAGCUCGGUAGAGGCGAGUGGAAUUCCAGGUGUAGCGGUGGAAUGCGUAGAUAUCUGGAAGAACACCAGUGGCGAAGGGACUCGCUGGGCCGAUGCUGACACUGAGGUGCGAAAGGUGGGGAGCAAACAGGAUUAGAUACCCUGGUAGUCCACGCCGUAAACGAUGGGUACUAGGCGUCGGGGGGAGCGACCCCUUCGGUGCCGUCGCUAACGCAGUAAGUACCCCGCCUGGGGAGUACGGCCGCAAGUGAAACUCAAAGGAAUUGACGGGGGCCCG
rnacentral:rRNA from 1 species